GACGAACGCUGGCGGCGUGCUUAACACAUGCAAGUCGAACGGAAAGGCCCCCACCUUGGUGGGGGUGCUCGAGUGGCGAACGGGUGAGUAACACGUGGGUGAUCUGCCCUGUACUUCGGGAUAAGCUUGGGAAACUGGGUCUAAUACCGGAUAGGACCAUGGUUUAGUGUCUCAUGGUGGAAAAAUUAUUGUUUUGGUGCAGGAUGAGCUCGCGGCCUAUCAGCUUGUUGGUGGGGUAAUGGCCUACCAAGGCGUCGACGGGUAGCCGGCCUGAGAGGGGGGACGGCCACAUUGGGACUGAGAUACGGCCCAGACUCCUACGGGAGGCAGCAGUGGGGAAUAUUGCACAAUGGGCGCAAGCCUGAUGCAGCGACGCCGCGUGGGGGAUGACGGCCUUCGGGUUGUAAACUCCUUUCGUUAGGGACGAAGCCACACCUUUUUUGGGUGUGGUGACGGUACCUUUGUUAAGAAGCACCGGCUAACUACGUG
rnacentral:rRNA from 1 species